UGAACGCUAGCGGCAGGCUUAAUACAUGCAAGUCGUGGGGCAGCAUGAAGUAGCAAUACUUUGAUGGCGACCGGCAAACGGGUGCGGAACACGUACACAACCUUCCUUUUAGUGGGGAAUAGCCCAGAGAAAUUUGGAUUAAUACCCCGUAACAUAGCGAUGUGGCAUCACAUUGCUAUUAUAGCUUCGGCGCUAGAUGAUGGGUGUGCGUAUGAUUAGAUAGUUGGCGAGGUAACGGCUCACCAAGUCUACGAUCAUUAGCUGAUGUGAGAGCAUGAUCAGCCACACGGGCACUGAGACACGGGCCCGACUCCUACGGGAGGCAGCAGUAAGGAAUAUUGGUCAAUGGACGAAAGUCUGAACCAGCCAUGCCGCGUGAAGGAUUAAGGUCCUCUGGAUUGUAAACUUCUUUUAUAUGGGACGAAAAAAGGUCUUUCUAGAUCACUUGACGGUACCAUAUGAAUAAGCACCGGCUAACUCCGUG
rnacentral:rRNA from 1 species